rnacentral:misc_RNA from 1 species
AGGAGGAGUGCACGAGUGAUAUUAAGAAACGAAUUGUUGCCGGUCGCUCUUCCGAGGAUCUCGGUAUUUUUACGGACGCGAUACCGCGCGGACACUGUUGAAUAUUACGAAUAGAUAAAUAGUGAAGAUAACUAUCACCGUUGUUAGCCGUUUGUUGUUGUUGUUGUUGUUGUUGUUGUUGACAUUAUUGUUAUCCACGUUAUUGCUAAUACGUCAGCUGCCCAUCCGCUCCCGCUGGAGUCGAUGAAUAGCGCGGCGGUGGUAGUGGUAGUAGUGGUGACGGAUUCGUGAGGGAUUCUCGCGCGCGCGGUCGCAAAGACACGUGUUCCUGCCAAAUCGUGUCGGUAAUUGACAGAAGGGGAAGAAGAUAUAGCGGAUUCGUGUAUAUACACGAGAAAAAGGAAAUAAACGCGCGGCAGGAAGUGGAGAGGAGAGGUGGCGCGUGUGCGAGGGUUUCGCGGGUGUGCGAGCUUGGCAAACAAACACAAGGAGUGUGCUGAAGCUCUCAAUUAAGUACACCACCCGCCGGGAAAGAGCGAUUGGAUUCUUUGUGUACUCAUCGAGAUUCACGAGAGAAUGGUAGUCGAGACCGGAAGAAAUGGGCACGAGCUGGCUCCUUUAAACGACCACCGCCAACCCGCCCACAACGUGACGAUCGUCACGACAGCGAGUCAAAAUGUUGCCGACGGCCAGGACACGAAGGAAGAGAACAGGGCGGCAUGGAGCGGGAAAAUGCAAUUCUUUCUCAGUAUUAUCGGAUACAGCGUCGGUCUGGGCAAUAUCUGGAGGUUUCCUUACCUGUGCCAACAGAAUGGAGGUGGUGCCUUCCUCAUUCCUUUUUUCGUGAUGCUCAUCUUGGAGGGUGUACCCCUCUUCCUGAUCGAGCUGGGUCUCGGACAACGUAUGCGGCAGGGUGCCCUGGGCGUUUGGAACACAAUACACCCUUGGCUAGGCGGUAUAGGGAUCGCGUCGUGUAUAGUGACGUUUUUCGUUGCGCUUUACUACAACGUAAUUAUUACCUGGUGUGUCUACUAUCUCUUCAACUCGCUCGAGGCUAUCACGAUCAAAUUUGGUGAAUCACUGCCGUGGGCAAAAUGCCCGGAAUUGGACGGAAAACCGGUUGAGGAAUGUACCAGGAGUUCGGAGACCGCAUAUUUUUGGUAUAGAACUACUUUGGACGCAGCACCGUCCAUUGAGGACGGCCAAGGUCUGAAAUGGUGGAUCGUACUUUGUCUUUUGUUCAGCUGGAUUGUCGUGUUCUUCAUUGUCAUGAAAGGAAUACAAUCGUCCGGCAAGGUGGUGUACUUUACGUCCAUGUUCCCGUAUCUCGUACUGACCAUCUUCUUCAUCCGCGGAAUAACGUUGAGGGGUGCGAGCGCCGGACUGGCGCACAUGUACACGCCAAAGGUCGAGAAACUGUUGGAGCCCACGGUCUGGCUUGACGCGGCGACCCAGGUCUUCUAUAGCUUCGGACUGGCGUUCGGUUCCCUGAUCGCGUUCGGCAGCUACAACACUCCUGACAACAACUGCGUGAGGGACGUGAUCCUGGUGAGCGUGUGCAACGCGUUUACUGCCAUUUACGCGAGCGUUGUCAUUUUCGCCAUUUUGGGGUUCAAGGCAAUGUCAAACGUGGACAAGUGCGUCGUCAGCGCAAGGGAUACUCUGAUAGAAAAUGGAAAAUGGAGUAAUUCCACCCCAUUCAACCUCGAGGACUAUGAACUCUUUAUGGGCGAUUUCAAUUCCUCGGCAAUGAACUUCACAAUGAAACCAUGCAGUCUCAGUAAGGAGUUGGACAACGCUGCCGAGGGCACUGGACUGGCAUUUAUCAUAUUUACCCAGGCGAUCGUGGAACUACCGGGGGCGCCAUUCUGGUCUUGCAUCUUCUUCAUGAUGCUUCUAGCUCUUGGAUUGGGCUCGCAAAUCGGUCUACUCGAGGGUAUGCUGUGCGUCAUCUUCGAUAUAGAUCUCUUCAAGAGAAUAAAAAAGCAAUAUAUGACAGGUGUUGUCUGUGUUGUAUGCUUCUUUGUGGGACUUAUCUUUUGUACUGGUGCUGGAGAGUAUUGGUUGAAAAUGUUCGACAGCUUUGCCGGUACCAUCGGUCUCGUCAUUGUCGCCCUGAUGGAAAUGAUCUCCGUUAUCUUCGUUUAUGGCCACGAAAAAUUUACGAAGGACAUCGAAGAGAUGACUGGAUAUAAACCGGGACCUUACUGGCAAUUUACGUGGCGAUUUCUCGCUCCCAUUAUAAUGGUUUGCAUCCUCCUAUUCAGCAUUGUCUCUAUGUUCAUCAAAAAACCGCAAUAUUCGGCAUGGAACGCGGCAUUGGGUAGGCAAUACCUACGAAUUAUCCUGGCUGGGUGCUGGGCAUUGCCGUCGUUAUUAUCUUGGCUGGUAUUGCGCCGAUUCCUAUCGUUUUCCUUCUACGACGAUUCCAAUUAGUGAAACUCGAUGUUGACAUCCAUCAGGGCAGUAUUCGACGUAUAGACACCACCGUUUCCACGAAGGAAAUGAUGGGAGACGUUGACUUGUAGGUAAGCAUCCGUUCUGUCUGUGGUAACGUCGAUUCCCCUCGAUAUCCCCGUAGCUACGUUACACCUUGAUGAAUAUCAUGAUCGGCUCGAGGACUUCCCGGAAGAAGAUGAGGAUGUAAACAGUG